AGUGAACGCUGGCGGUAGGCCUAACACAUGCAAGUCGAACGGCAGCACAGUAAGAGCUUGCUCUUACGGGUGGCGAGUGGCGGACGGGUGAGGAAUACAUCGGAAUCUACUUUUUCGUGGGGGAUAACGUAGGGAAACUUACGCUAAUACCGCAUACGACCUACGGGUGAAAGCAGGGGAUCUUCGGACCUUGCGCGAUUGAAUGAGCCGAUGUCGGAUUAGCUAGUUGGCGGGGUAAAGGCCCACCAAGGCGACGAUCCGUAGCUGGUCUGAGAGGACGACCAGACAUACUGGGACGGUGACACGGUCCAGCCGGAGGGGGGAGGGCGCAGUGGGGAAUAGCGGACGUGGGGGCGAAGUAGGAACCCGCCAUUCCGCGUGGGUGGAGAGGGCGGGCGGGUACUACAGCCUUUUUGUGGGGAAAGAAAAGCAGCACGUCAAUGCUCCGGUGGUCCUACGGUACCAAAAGACGAAGCACCGGCUAACUUCGUGCCAGCAGCCGCGGUAAUAAUGGGAAGAGCACACGUUUGAAC
rnacentral:rRNA from 1 species